GUCACGAUUACUCUGUUUCUCUCAUUCAUCUUUGUGAAGCCACAAACAGAGAAACACUUCAACUUCGAUACUGAGCAUCCAACCAGCUUAGGAAACCAGAACAGAACACACUUGCAUACGUUUGGGAUAUUUAAACAGAGCACCCAACCAGCUUGGGAAACCAGAACGGAACACAAUUGCGUGCGUUUGAGAUAUUU